rnacentral:rRNA from 1 species
UGAGGAAUAUUGGUCAAUGGGCGGGAGCCUGAACCAGCCAAGCCGCGUGAGGGAAGAAGGCCCUAUGGGUCGUAAACCUCUUUUGUCAGGGAACAAAAGCGAGUAUGUAUACUAGUCUGAGUGUACCUGAAGGAAAAGCAUCGGCUAACUCCGUGCCAGCAGCCGCGGUAAUACGGAGGAUGCGAGCGUUAUCCGGAUUUAUUGGGUUUAAAGGGUGCGUAGGCGGCGAUGCAAGUCAGCGGUAAAAGCCCGGGGCUCAACCCCGGCGAGCCGUUGAAACUGCAGUGCUAGAGAAGGCGAGAGGUACGCGGAAUGCGCAGUGUAGCGGUGAAAUGCUUAGAUAUUGCGCAGAACUCCGAUUGCGAAGGCAGCGUACUGGCGCCUGACUGACGCUGAGGCACGAAAGCGUGGGGAUCGAACAGGAUUAGAUACCC